UCUGAGCAACCUUGGGUGGAUCGUGCCAUCUCUCUGGGCCUUUCCCAUCUGUACAGAAAAUGGAUUAACUAAGGAAUUCCAUGAACCUAUGCUGAGCAUCUGCCUAUGCCUCGUCUGGGACAGCUGAGCCUGUCUCCUUACAGGGGGAUGGAGAGGGAGGAAGUUUAAUUUUUUUUUCACUUCAAUCAUGGGAUCUUUCAAAAUGUCUUGCUUGUCAAGGUUUUUGGAUGAAGACAUCAAUUAAAAUGAACAAUUGUGAAAGAAAGCUUGUAUGCCUGGAGUGUGACUCUUUCUGCAACCCAUGUAACCCAAGUUAAAUAUUUCAAGGCCAGAAAUGAAAAUGGCAGAGCGGGGACUAGAGUUAUCUGGUGAAAGAAAAAAGCUAACCCUGGCUUCUGAACUCCAAGAUCUCAUUGUCCAGGGUUGAUGUAAAGAGAUGGCUCUGAUAAGGAGGCAGAAGGAAAAACUGGAGACAAUUCAGUGUGGACCUUGUUUCUGAUAAGCAGGAGUUAAGUGUAAAUGAUGGUUCAUCUUCUUGCACAACUUUGAGGCCACAGAACCAUAAACUGUGAAAGUUCCCGGAAAUGGAACCUGCACUCUCUAACCAGCAAGCAAACUAUAAGCUAUACCAGGCCAGCCUGUUGACCUUUCCUUGACUGGCAUUAUUAUCUUCUUCACUAUCAAGACCAAAAAUUCAGUUACCAGGAGGCCAAGCAGCAUGAAACACUUGUGCAGAACGAUGUGACUCAGAGAGAUGCCAUUUGAGUAGCUGCUUUCCUUAGAUGCUCCUUUGUUCCUUCCGAGAUUAAAUGUAGAGAUAUGGAUAUUGACAUCACACAAGCCUAG